rnacentral:rRNA from 1 species
AGUAUCGCGUUUGUAACCUACCUUUAACUGGAAGAUAGCCCGAAGAAAUUCGGAUUAAUAUUCCAUAACACUAUAGUUUGGCAUCAUUUUAUAGUUAAAGCUCCGGCGGCUAAAGAUGGGCAUGCGUAACAUUAGCUAGUUGGUGAGGUAACUGCUCACCAAGGCUACGAUGUUUAGGGGGUCUGAGAGGAUGGUCCCCCACACUGGUACUGAGACACGGACCAGACUCCUACGGGAGGCAGCAGUGAGGAAUAUUGGUCAAUGGGCGAAAGCCUGAACCAGCCAUGCCGCGUGAAGGAUGACGGCCCUAUGGGUUGUAAACUUCUUUUAUACGGGAAGAAACCGUCCUACGUGUAGGGCGUUGACGGUACCGUACGAAUAAGCAUCGGCUAACUCCGUGCCAGCAGCCGCGGUAAUACGGAGGAUGCAAGCGUUAUCCGGAUUUAUUGGGUUUAAAGGGUGCGUAGGCGGAAAUUUAAGUCAGUGAUGAAAUCCUGCGGCUCAACCGUAGAACUGUUAUUGAUACUGAAUUUCUUGAAUACAGUUGAGGUAGGCGGAAUGAGUAAUGUAGCGGUGAAAUGCUUAGAUAUUACUCAGAACACCGAUUGCGAAGGCAGCUUACUAAACUGAUAUUGACGCUGAGGCACGAAAGCGUGGGGAGCGAACAGGAUUAGAUACCCUGGUAGUCCACGCCGUAAACGAUGAUCACUCGUUGUUGGCAAUACACCGUCAGCGACUGAGCGAAAGCAUUAAGUGAUCCACCUGGGGAGUACGAUCGCAUGAUUGUAAACUCAAAGGAAUUGACGGGGGCCCGCACAAAGCGGAGGUACAUGUGGUUUAUUUCGUUGAUACGCGAGGAACCUUACCUGGGCUUAAAUGUAGAGCGACGGACCGGGAAACUGGUCUUUCUUGGGACGAUCUACAAGGUGCUGCAUGGCGUUCGUCAGCUCGUGCCGUGAGGUGUCGGGUUAAGUCCCAUAACGAGCGCAACCCUCAUCAUUAGUUGCCAGCGGGUAAUGCCGGGGACUCUAAUGAAACUGCCGGUGUAAACUGAGAGGAAGGUGGGGAUGACGUCAAGUCAGCAC